AGAACGAACGCUGGCGGCAGGCCUAACACAUGCAAGUCGAGCGGAUCCUUCGGGAUUAGCGGCGGACGGGUGAGUAACGCGUGGGAACAUACCCUUUGGUACGGAAUAGCCUCGGGAAACUGAGAGUAAUACCGUAUGUGCCCUUCGGGGGAAAGAUUUAUCGCCAAAGGAUUGGCCCGCGUUGGAUUAGGUAGUUGGUGGGGUAAUGGCCUACCAAGCCGACGAUCCAUAGCUGGUUUGAGAGGAUGAUCAGCCACACUGGGACUGAGACACGGCCCAGACUCCUACGGGAGGCAGCAGUGGGGAAUCUUAGACAAUGGGGGAAACCCUGAUCUAGCCAUGCCGCGUGAUCGAUGAAGGCCUUAGGGUGUAAAGAUCUUCAGUGGGAAGAUAAUGACGGUACCACGAGAAGAAGCCCCGGACUAACUCCGUGCCAGCAGCCGC
rnacentral:rRNA from 1 species